rnacentral:rRNA from 1 species
UACAGAGGGGGCAAGCGUUGUUCGGAAUUACUGGGCGUAAAGGGCGCGUAGGCGGCCUGCUAAGUCGAACGUGAAAUCCCUGGGCUCAACCCAGGAACUGCGUCCGAUACUGGUUGGCUUGAAUCCGGGAGAGGGAUGUGGAAUUCCAGGUGUAGCGGUGAAAUGCGUAGAUAUACGGAGGAACACCAGCGGCGAAGGCGGGUAGCUGGGCCAACACUGACGCUGAUGUGCGAAAGCUAGGGUAGCAAACGGG